rnacentral:rRNA from 1 species
CAGCCGCCGCGGGAAUACGUAGGUGGCAAGCGUUGUCCGGAAUUAUUGGGCGUAAAGGGCUCGCAGGCGGUUUCUUAAGUCUGAUGUGAAAGCCCCCGGCUCAACCGGGGAGGGUCAUUGGAAACUGGGAAACUUGAGUGCAGAAGAGGAGAGUGGAAUUCCACGUGUAGCGGUGAAAUACGUAGAGAUGUGGAGGAACACCAGUGGCGAAGGCGACUCUCUGGUCUGUAACUGACGCUGAGGAGCGAAAGCGUGGGGAGCGAACAGGAUUAGAUACCCCCGUAGUCCCUGUCUCUUAUAC